UACGUAGGGUGCAAGCGUUGUCCGGAAUUAUUGGGCGUAAAGGGCUCGUAGGCGGUCCAUCGCGUCGGGAGUGAAAAGCUGGGCUUAACCCCAGUCCUGCUUCCGAUACGGGUGGACUAGAGGUAGGUAGGGAGAACGGAAGUUCCUGGUGUAGCGGUGAAAUGCGCAGAUAUCAGGAGGAACACCGGUGGCGAAGGCGGUUCUCCUGGGCCUUACCUGACGCUGAGGAGCGAAAGCAUGGGGAGCAAACAGG
rnacentral:rRNA from 1 species